CGCCCCCUGGAGGCCACCGGAGCAACUGCCUUUCAGUAGCAGGUUCCACGGGUGACCUUGGGAGAGAAAGGACAGAGAAACAAAGUCCAAAAUGCACCCCUGCUGGGGCAGGUGCACUCUUCCCCUCCAGAUCAUAAAGACAGUUUGUAGAGGAGAGAUGGAGUUUCAUGGCUACCUCCGCUGCUCGUAUCCUGUCCCCUUGGGUGACCACCUGGGCCACCCCUGAUCUCCACGACCGUCAGACGUCCGGUGUGGUUGUAUGAGUUUCGUCUUCUGUCUUGAGGUCUGGCCUGAAGCAGAGGUGUGGGUCUCCUCCAAGGUUGCAAGGUACCUGGUCUUCUGCACUGACUCCUUCCAGAGCCCAGCCCUGACUCCUAGAAUACUUCUUCUAGCUCAGCUGCCUGUGACAGUAUCACCCGGCUGGCAAUGCAUCUGGCCACUCUUUGUCUAUUGCUGGAGCUAAUUCGUCCACAGGUGCCCUGUUAUUUACUGAUUCAGGCCUCUCAUUCCGUGCCACUUUGCAACCGUGCACCUUUAAGUAAAAUAACAAAUGCCCUUUGCAUGUCUCUCAAUUACAAGUGUCAAGAGAGGGCAAAAGGAAGGCUCUCGAUCCCCGGCUGUGUGCUCGCGCUCCCUGGCUCCCAGCGUGUCUGGCUGCUGGCAAUCCCUCUUCGGCACCAGCUGCGGUGGCAGAAGUGGGCGGCAGGGAGCAGGACAGAGGGGCACUGGUUCAGAAGCAGGCGUCGGCCCUGGUGCUGGCGCUCGGGAAGCAGGGCCCGAUGAGCCAGGGAUUCCAGAGCAGGGAGUGCACCAACUUCUGGGAAUGAAGAGGUAAAGCAGGGAAGGAGCCAGCAGUGAGGGGCGUGCUGCUGAGUCAGCUCCCCGCGGGUGCUGAGUCACACGAUGGUGCUCAGCACUGUGCACAAGCCUGACUCAGCCCACUGAAGGGGUGGGGGAAUCGGGUAUCUGUACCCUGGGUCCCACCAGUCCCUGGUUGCAGGCCACUUCUAAGAAUGUAAAUUUCCUGGAAAUUUUGUCCUGCUUGCAGAGUAGGGAAAAUAGGCCUCGGUGGCCCUGGAAAGUUCUCGGGCAGAUGCUGUCAGUGGGAAGCAUUACCAGGCUGUACCAAAGUGACAAGGACAUGGUCAGUGUGUGGCACAGAGCUAGAAUCUGAUGCACAUUCUUUGAGGACUUCCUGUGUGCUGUGCAGUGCCAUGCAGCCUUUGUAGAGAUGGAGUUUUAUCUCUGUCUUUGCAGACCUGAUUGUUGAGUGGAAGAAGCAAGCAAGUAAUCAAACAGAGCCCCCUAAAAUGGCAUCUUUUGUGAUGGCAAGAAAGAGAGUUAUGUCAAGGAAAGCCUCCCAAGAAGGUGCCAUCUAAGCUAGAGCUGAAUUAAUACUGUCUUUGUAGGUGGGGCAGCAGUAUGUGCAAAGGUCCUGAGGAGAGUAUGUUUGCAGCAAGUUUGAGAAGCUACACAGAAGCAGAUGUACCUGGAUAAGAGAGUGCAAAAAAAAAAAAAAAAAAAAAAACAAGAGAUAAAGGGGCUGUGGAUGAGGACAAGGGUGACUGAAGAUCUGGAGGGGAGCCAGAGAGUGGAGAUACCGAAGAGCUGCUUGCAGUGCUCCUGGUGGCCAGUGCUCCCCUAGACAAAACAUUUCCAGCUAUGAUUUAUGGUGCUUAAGCGUUCAUCUGCUUACUAUUCUCACCUUGUGCACAAACUUCUCUCAUGCAAAUUCACAGAGAACUUCUGAAACAUUUUAAGUAGACAACCUAACAAAAUCGUACUUGGUUUUGCUGCAGACUAAUAUACAAUGCACAGAUUAUUAUUGUUCUAGAAUGCAGUGCUUGCUUGAUUUAGGUAGUGCUAGCAAGGAAACCGCUGUCCUUCAGAUUCCAGAAAUAAGCCAGAACGAUGGCAAAUGUCUGUAUCCCAGCACUUGGGAUGCCGAGGCAGGAGGACCACAGGUUCCCACCUGGCCUGGGCAACGCAGCAACUUUAAUGACUGUUAUGGAUUAGGAACUGGUGGUCAACUUAACCCCAGCUGGAUAACAUCAGCAUGGCACUGAGCGUAGAUGCCCCACCUGAAGAAAGUUGCCAGCAUAAAUACAGACUGGAGAAGAAGCUAUGCAUUGUGGGUUCUCCUAUGAGUGGCUGUUUGAGCCGUUGGUUCUCCUGGAGAAACUCUGGUCCUCACAUCGAGCAUUGCUUCCUGGCUCUGGAGGGAAGACAUGUGACACUUGGUCUCCAGGAUGAACUCGUCACACUGGUUUCCUGGCAUGUACUCAACUGUGCUUGUUGUCAGAGGAGCUUAGGGCCUCCGAGUGGCUGAGAAUGGCUGUGGUGCCUUUAAGGACAGCCCUGGUCUUUGUUGUGGUCUUGGCUUCAGCAUAGAAUCCUCAUCCCACCAGCACAGCUCCUUUACCCCGCUGGCAUGGACUUCCUGGCUUCUACCACUGACCCUUGGGUCUUCCCGGCAUGGAUCCAUAACAGACACUGGCGUGAGUCCUUUUUGUGGGCUUUGGACCUCCAGUUGGACUUGUGGGAGGCAUUGUCAUGAGCUCUGGGUUUUUAUCUGGACUCAUGCAGGACAUUGUUGUGGGAUCCAGGCCCUUGGCUAAGUAUUCUAUGUCUCUGGUGUUGUGGAUAGAUUUCCUGCAGUUUCUUGUGUUAACUCUGGGUGACCAUCAUAAAGAAUAUUAUAAACUCCA